GACGAACGCUGGCGGCGUGCUCAACACAUGCAAGUCGAACGGAAAGGCCCUGCUUUUGUGGGGUGCUCGAGUGGCGAACGGGUGAGUAACACGUGAGUAACCUGCCCUUGACUUUGGGAUAACUUCAGGAAACUGGGGCUAAUACCGGAUAGGAGCUCCUGCUGCAUGGUGGGGGUUGGAAAGUUUCGGCGGUUGGGGAUGGACCCGCGGCGUAUCAGCUUGUUGGUGGGGUAGGGGCUUACCAAGGGUUUGACGGGUAGCCGGCCUGGGAGGGUGACCGGCCCGCUUGGGUAAAGGAAGCAGCCGGGAAGCUCGCGGGGGGGGAAGGGGGGGACAGUGCAAGGAGGGGCGGAAGCCGCAGGAGGCAACCCCGCUGGGGGAAGGGCGGCCUUCGGGUAGAAAACCGCUUUCCCCUGUGCCGAAGCAAGAGUGACGGUAUUGGAGAAAGGAACACCGCAGAACUUCUC
rnacentral:rRNA from 1 species